rnacentral:rRNA from 1 species
AGUACGGUCGCAAGAUUAAAACUCAAAGGAAUUGACGGGGACCCGCACAAGCGGUGGAUGAUGUGGAUUAAUUCGAUGCAACGCUAAAAACCUUACCUACCCUUGACAUGCCACUAACGAAGUAGAGAUACAUUAGGUGCUCGUAAGAGAAAGUGAACACAGGUGCUGCAUGGCUGUCGUCAGCUCGUGUCGUGAGAUGUUGGGUUAAGUCCCGCAACGAGCGCAACCCUUGUCUUUAGUUGCUACGCAAGAGCACUCUAAAGAGACUGCCGGUGACAAACCGGAGGAAGGUGGGGAUGACGUCAAGUCCUCAUGGCCCUUAUGGGUAGGGCUUCACACGUCAUACAAUGGUGCAUACAGAGGGUUGCCAACCCGCGAGGGGGAGCUAAUCUCAGAAAAUGCAUCGUAGUCCGGAUCGUAGUCUGCAACUCGACUACGUGAAGCUGGAAUCGCUAGUAAUCGCGGAUCAGAAUGUCGCGGUGAAUACGUUCCCGGGUCUUGUACACACCGCCCGUCAUACCAUGGGAGUGGGUUUUGCCAGAAGCCGUUAGCCUAACCGCAAGGGGGGCGACUGCCACGGCAGGGUUCAUGACUGGGGUA